GUUAGGCUUGUCUCCUUGGCUCUAGCCAUACCAUGUAACAUAUCUGCCUCAUCACCAGGAACAGUUGGAGUUUGAGGUGAUCAAAAGAGAAAAAGGACAAGAAACACAGGAUCACUAACAAAAAAGGAAGAGCCCAAACAGAAGACUUUGCAUUAGAUCCUGGAAAUUAUUGCCAAGAAGGAAUGUGGCUUGAUGGAAGAAAAUCAAUCAAAGAUAUUCCAACUAAGUGUGAAAUAGCUUUGGUCAAUUUAUGUGCUUCUGAUCAGUUCCUGGAUGAACCAGAAUGAAGUUACACAGGAAAGAUAUUUGGAUUGGCUGAGAAACCUUGCCCACAAAGGGAAGAAAAGGAUUCCCAACAACCAGCAGCUGCUUCCUACUCCAUCCUGCACCUGCCUCCUUGAAAGAAAACAAGACAUCAGAUAUUUAUUCAGAUAAUGGAGAAGCUGAUCAGCCUAGGAGCUGCACAAUGCUGAGUUACUCAGGAUAAAAGGGACAACUUUUUAUGCAUUACUCUCAACAUAUGCAUCCUUUCCCUGAAGAUUUAUGACACCCAAGACGAAGUAUUGUGAACAAAAUCAAACCUCUCAGAGCCUCAUGGCAAAGAUUAAAGCUACUAUCAAUAAACUCCUA
rnacentral:lncRNA from 1 species